rnacentral:tRNA from 2 species
ACCCCCGUAGCUCAGAGGAUAGAGCACUGGCCUCAGCCAGGUGCACUGGUGCGAGUCCUGUCGGGGAUA